rnacentral:rRNA from 1 species
GACGAACGCUGGCGGCGUGCUUAACACAUGCCAGUCGAGCGGUAAGGCCUUUCGGGGUACACGAGCGGCGAACGGGUGAGUAACACGUGGGUGAUCUGCCCUGCACUUCGGGAUAAGCCUGGGAAACUGGGUCUAAUACCGGAUAUGACCUCCUAUCGCAUGGUGGGUGGUGGAAAGAUUUAUCGGUGCAGGAUGGGCCCGCGGCCUAUCAGCUUGUUGGUGGGGUAAUGGCCUACCAAGGCGACGACGGGUAGCCGACCUGAGAGGGUGACCGGCCACACUGGGACUGAGACAAGGCCCAGACUCCAACGGGAGGCAACGGUGGGGAAUAGUGCACAAUGGGCGAGAGCCUGAUGCGGCGACGCCGCGUGAGGGAUGACGGCCUUCGGGUUGUAAACCUCUUUCAGCAGAGACGAAGCGCAAGUGACGGUACCUGCAGAAGAAGCACCGGCUAACUACGUG